GAUGUUUGAUCUUAACAGACCUCUUCUCCUGGACCUUCCUCCCUCCCCAAUGACUGAAGCAUCUGCGAUGUAGAACGGCCAGGAUGAGGGAAGUGACAGCGAAUGUGGCAGGGUUCCUUCAGAGUCCUUAAUUCUGAACUCCUGCGAGGCUGCUGCCAAUCCACUCUACCAAGGACCUCUCAUCCUGAAGUCCCCACUGUUGACAAAGGCUGAUACAUGCAUCACUCCCGGAGUUUGGAGGACCAAGAAGGAGCCCUGAAGAGGCAAUGGGAAGUACCCUGUCUAGGAGAAAAGGGUGCAAUUGAAGGAGUGAAGUCUCUUUAUUUUCUCCCUCUUGGCAGUUGAAAUUAAAUAAAAAUUGAGCCAGCAGCCCUACUUUAAAUGGGUUUCAAUUCUCUUUUUCCCUCUUAGUCCUAUUUCCCCCGUGUCCUCAUCCACGUCAGAAGGCAGCCCAAGUGUCUGGAAUCUUGAGACAAAUCAUAAUUGGUAGUUGAAGUAAGGGCUUGAAGUACUCCUUCCACUCCCGGGUCUCCCACACAGCCAGCGAGAUGUGAAGCUGGACGGUGGAGUCUGAGAGCCACGUGUGGUGUGCAGCAAGCCUGUUGAGUGGGGGUUCCUACCGCAGUGGAGUUCACUGGCUCCAGGGCUCCCACCGAGGUCAGUGCUGGGCACUGACACCUGCUUUCUUUUCCCAGUGGCGGAGCGGGACAGCAAAGCUUUUGACAAAGCUGGACGCAACUCCUCACUUUACCUGCCCAAGGACCCCACCUGGAAGUGUCUUUGUGCCAGCUAGAGCUGUGUGUUGGAGCAAAAGCUAAAAAAAAGAGGGGGGGGGGUUCUUCCUGCCCGUGCAGUUUGCUGGAUUUUUGUUGAGUGUUUAAUCUCUGACAGUCACUUGGAGUCCCUCUUACUAACAUGCUGGAGCUAAAGCCAGCAAGAAGCACUUCUCUGAAAUUUAGAGCAAGUUUUUUUUUUCCCCCAGCUUUGGCUCCUGUUUGCUCCUCAAAGUCUGUGUAUGAUAUGUGUUGGGCAGUGUCUUCGCCUUGUCAGUGUCUGGGAGGCUUUGAUGUAUUGACAGGGUCUCCUUUCAGGCCCCCCCCCACCCCCUCCCCCGGGGAGUUUCUUUUGUUUCUUCAUCUACUAAAUUUGUUUCUUUCUUCUCUUUUUCUUUUUACCAUGGCUGUAAGUGAGUGAGACACAAAGUUGUGGCUUCCACACCUUGGUGAGCAGGCAUGGAAUCGAAAUGUUUCUGAAUGUUUCACCCGCGGACCACCCAGGAACCGCAGCAGGGAAGAAAGCAGUGAGAACCAGGAACACGUGGGGCGGCAGAACUGUGUUCACAGAAUCCCCGGAUGUUCUUCUCAAGAUUCCAUUUGUCCUAAACUGAGAAAAAAGGAGAAAUUCCUACUGCACACAGAAGAAAAGCAGUUUUUAAAGUCAAAUAAAAAAGAGGUAGGUUGACCAGCUGGCAUACUACAUUAUCUGUUUUUGAAGCUAUUGUCUAGAGCAGGGCUCCAUACAAUGGUUACCAUAAAGAGUCAGAAAGUAAAUAACUAGUUCGGCGGGCCAUAUGGUAUCUGUGACAAGUCUUUAUUGUUCCCAUUCAAAAGAAAGCAGCCAUACGUAAUGUGGAACUGGCUAGUACUAGUUCAGUAAAACAGAUGGACGGUGACUUUGAGCAAGUUCUGGUCCAGAGAGACUGUAGAGUCCUAUCGAUCAUGUCUCCAUCCUGGAUCAAGCUACUUUUUUUUUUCUUAAGUGCAUAACUGGAUUUUUCUGGUUAGCAUCCUGCUUCCAUUCUUGCUACACUUUGAUCCAUUCUUCCAUAGCAAGAUGAAUUUUAAAACAAAAUAUAUCAGCCCCAUUCCAACCCCCUAUUAAGUUUCCAUCUCACAAAGGUCUGUGUAUUCUGUCCUCGAAAUCAACCCUGUUCUAUCCCCUCCCUUCAUCUGCA